ACAAGGACACUCCCCCCGCUCUCGACAUCUCGCCAAAUGGACACACACAGCCCGGAAUCGGACACCGAGCGCACGCACGCCCUGGACUGGGACACGCGCUGUAGACGGGAUGGGUGGAGGAGCCGAGCGUGAGUGAGAUUCCGUGACUAUUCACCCAGCUUCUUAGCCCCCAGCGCGCUGACUCACACCCCGGCGGCUCGCUCUGUCUCGCACCUAUGAGGCACGCGCGCACCCCAACCCAUUGUCACCCCACCUCUCCCCGGGCCUGCCGGAGAGCGAGCCCCGGAGCGGCAGACUCCGCGUCAGGAGGGUUCCUCUCUUAGCAGCCGCCGCCUAGCGGUAGACUGCUCCCCGGGGAGCUGUCCAGGGUACCAGAGGGUCGCCGAGGGCUGAGUGAGGAGGGCUUCUUCACACAGAGACACUAGGAGGAGGAAACAGAGUACAAGGAGAACGUAUCCAGGAGCAAUUCCACUUCGAAUGAUUCCUAAGUGAAUGCCUACAGGACAGUUCUCGGUGACCAUGUCCAGAACAGGCAUAAGUGACGAUCCCCAGUACUUCCCUGAGGGACCACACUGGUACCUUGGAUCAGAACCCUGCAUCAGAACAGGCCUAAAUGGCCAUGGCUAAGAACACGGCUGAGUUGUCCUUCAACAGCAAUGCCAAUGCCAAUUCACCAUGUCCGAGUGUUCACAAGGCUCCUCUCCUGGAUGUAAGCUAAUUUGUCUAUGUCUCUUCUAAAAUCUCACACCUGGGACUGCGCGAGGAAUUUCAGAUAUGGAUUGAAAAGUUCAACAGGACUCUCACCUCUCUUUUGUAAGUUCUAUUUCUAGUAAUGCCACCUAAGACUCCAUUAUCUUUUUCUUGUGGCUAUAUCACACUGCUGACAUCUCAAACUUGCAGCCAAGUAACAUCUCUAAAUGUUUCUUACAAGUGCUGCUGAUUAAGGCACAGCUACCCCAUACUGUGCUUGUACAGUGGGCCUUUUUGGACCCAAUGUGUAGGUCCUUAUAGAUUUGACUUGAUUGCAUUUCAUCUUGUCUCAUCAGUUCGCUGCCCUAGUUUUUUUUAAAUGUCUAUUUGAAGUCAAACCACGAGGUAGCUUUCAUUUAUUCAAAAAGAAAAAGUAGAAAGAUUGUAUCCCAGCUUUACCCUUUAUUCCAGGUGUACUUUGGGCAAGUGGACCCCCUUUAAGCCUCAGGUUCCUCAGCUGUAAAAUGGGACGCUAUGAUUCACCUUAAAAGUCUCUCAAAGUUUAGAUGUUGCAUGAUUCUAUGAUUCCAUUACCCAAAGCAUGAACCACUCACUUGGCAUCAUGUAAUUUCCACAGUUGAUCACAAUUUAAUUAAUUCCUC
rnacentral:lncRNA from 10 species